GACGAACGCUGGCGGCGUGCUUAACACAUGCAAGUCGAACGAUGAAGCCCAGCUUGCUGGGUGGAUUAGUGGCGAACGGGUGAGUAACACGUGAGUAACCUGCCCUUGACUCUGGGAUAAGCGCUGGAAACGGCGUCUAAUACCGGAUACGACCUGCCCCGGCAUCGGGUGCGGGUGGAAAGUUUUUCGGUCAAGGAUGGACUCGCGGCCUAUCAGCUAGUUGGUGAGGUAAUGGCUCACCAAGGCGACGACGGGUAGCCGGCCUGAGAGGGUGACCGGCCACACUGGGACUGAGACACGGCCCAGACUCCUACGGGAGGCAGCAGUGGGGAAUAUUGCACAAUGGGCGAAAGCCUGAUGCAGCAACGCCGCGUGGGGGAUGACGGCCUUCGGGUUGUAAACCUCUUUUAGUAGGGAAGAAGGGCUUCGGCUUGACGGUACCUGCAGAAAAAGCACCGGCUAACUACGUGCCAGCAGCCGCGGUAAUACGUAGGGUGCAAGCGUUGUCCGGAAAUUUAUUGGGCGUAAGAGCUCGUAGGCGGUUUGUCGCGUCUGCUGUGAAAAACCCGAGGCUCACCUCGGGCCUGCAGUGGGUACGGGCAGACUAGAGUGCGGUAGGGGAGAAUGGAAUUCCUGGUGUAGCGGUGGAAUGCGCAGAUAUCAGGAGGAACACCGAUGGCGAAGGCAGUUCUCUGGGCCGUUACUGACGCUGAGGAGCGAAAGCGUGGGGAGCGAACAGGAUUAGAUACCCUGGUAGUCCACGCCGUAAACGUUGGGAACUAGAUGUGGGGACCUUUCCACGGUCUCCGUGUCGCAGCUAACGCAUUAAGUUCCCCGCCUGGGGAGUACGGCCGCAAGGCUAAAACUCAAAGGAAUUGACGGGGGCCCGCACAAGCGGCGGAGCAUGCGGAUUAAUUCGAUGCAACGCGAAGAACCUUACCAAGGCUUGACAUAUACCGGAAACUUCCAGAAAUGGUUGCCCCGCAAGGUCGGUAUACAGGUGGUGCAUGGUUGUCGUCAGCUCGUGUCGUGAGAUGUUGGGUUAAGUCCCGCAACGAGCGCAACCCUCGUUCUAUGUUGCCAGCACGUCAUGGUGGGAACUCAUAGGAGACUGCCGGGGUCAACUCGGAGGAAGGUGGGGAUGACGUCAAAUCAUCAUGCCCCUUAUGUCUUGGGCUUCACGCAUGCUACAAUGGCCGGUACAAAGGGCUGCGAUACCGUAAGGUGGAGCGAAUCCCAAAAAGCCGGUCUCAGUUCGGAUUGAGGUCUGCAACUCGACCUCAUGAAGUCGGAGUCGCUAGUAAUCGCAGAUCAGCAACGCUGCGGUGAAUACGUUCCCGGGCCU
rnacentral:rRNA from 1 species